UACGGAGGGUGCAAGCGUUGCUUGGAAUUAUUGGGCGUAAAGGGUAGGUAGGUGGUCUCAUUUGUCUGGGGUGAAAGCCUUGGGCUUAACUCAAGAAGUGCCCCAGAAACGGUGAGACUGGAGUCCUGGAGAGGGUCGUGGAAUUCCCGGUGUAGCGGUGAAAUGCGUAGAGAUCGGGAGGAACACCAGAGGCGAAGGCGGCGACCUGGACAGGCACUGACACUCAACUACGAAAGCGUGGGGAGCAAACAGG
rnacentral:rRNA from 1 species